CCUACGUGAGGCUGCAGUGAGGAAUAUUGGUCAAUGGACGAGAGUCUGAACCAGCCAAGUAGCGUGAAGGAUGACUGCCCUAUGGGUUGUAAACUUCUUUUAUAUGGGAAUAAAACAGGGUAUGCAUACCCUCUUGUAUGUACCAUAUGAAUAAGGAUCGGCUAACUCCGUUCCAGCAGCCGCGGUAAUAAUGAAGAUGCGUGCGUUAUCCGGAAUUAUUGGGUUUAAAGGGAGCGUAGGUGGCUUGUUAAGUCAGUUGUGAAAGUUUAGGGCUCAACCGUAAGAUUGCAGUUGAAACUGGCAGGCUUGAGUAGAGUAGAGGUAAGCGGAAUUCGUGGUGUAGCGGUGAAAUGCUUAGAUAUCACGAAGAACUCCGAUUGCGAAGGCAGCUUACUGGAC
rnacentral:rRNA from 1 species